UACGUAGGGGGCAAGCGUUGUCCGGAUUUAUUGGGCGUAAAGAGCGUGUAGGCGGCCAGGUAGGUCCGUUGUGAAAACUAGAGGCUCAACCUCUAGACGUCGAUGGAAACCAUCUGGCUAGAGUCCGGAAGAGGAGAGUGGAAUUCCUGGUGUAGCGGUGAAAUGCGCAGAUAUCAGGAAGAACACCCGUGGCGAGGGCGGCUCUCUGGGACGGUACUGACGCUGAGACGCGAAAGCGUGGGGAGCGAACAGG
rnacentral:rRNA from 1 species